AUGUAUAUUUACCAUACUAGAAAAAGGAUGCUUGGAAGAAUGGCCUUCCAAGUCAGAAGCAUCUGGGUUGAAAUUGAGCUCCACUCCCUACUGUGCCAAAGCCACAUAGCAGUGUUCUUACUUGGCCUACUCCUAAGGCAAGCCAUCUCUGAUGUCCUGGAAGCUUCUCUUCUAUCCAGUGGUUGGAAUGAAUCUUCUGGUAGAAGGCAAGGUGGGAAUUUGGUACACGGGUUGAAAGUCGUGUUCCUAAGGUUCUCUGUUGACAUCUCUGAGCAGAAGAGAGGCCCCGGAGUCGUCCUGGAAAUUUUCUUCAGCUGGAGUGUAAUGACACGAUCUCAGCUCACUGCAACCUCCACCUCCCGGAUUGAAGCCCUCUCCUACUUCAGCCUCCCGAGUAGCUGGGAUUACAGAAGCUGAUUGAAAGAGAUGUAUUGGCACGUAAUCCCAGCAGGUUGGGAGGCUGAGGUGAGUGGAUUGCCCGAGAUGGGGCUGUGAGACCAGCCUGGCCAACGUGGUGAAACCCCAUGUUUACAAAUGAUACAGAAAAAUUAGCUUGGUGCGUUGGUGGCCAUCUCCCGGGUUCAAGCAAUUCUCCUGCCUCAGCCUCCCAAGUAGCUGGGACUACAGGAGCCUGCCGCUAUGCCUGGUUAAUUCUUUUUUUUUUUUUUUUUUGGUAGGAGUUUUGCUCUUGCCGCCGAGGCUGUAGUGCAAUGGCACCAUCUUGGCUCACCACAACCUCUGCCUCCCGGGUUCAAGUGAUUAUCCUGCCUCAGCCUCUGGAGCAGCUGGGAUUAGCCCAGCUAAUUUAUUUUUAUUUUUGAGGUGGAGUUUUGCCGUCGUUGCCCAGGCUGGAGUACAAUGGUGCUAUCCCGGCUCACGGCAACAUCCGCCUCCUGGGUUCAAAUCUGUGUCUGUAUCGAUUCCACACAAGAGUUCAGUCAUCAUAUGGGAAGUGAA
rnacentral:lncRNA from 13 species